GACAGAGGUGGCAAGCGUUGUUCGGAUUUAUUGGGUGUAAAGGGCAGGUAGGUUGUUAUGCAAGUCUGGUGUGAAAGCCCACGGCUCAACCGUGGAAUGGCAUUGGAAACUGCAUGACUUGAGUACCGGAGAGGUGAAGGGAAUUCUCGGUGUAAGGGUGAAAUCUGUAGAUAUCGAGAGGAACACCAGUGGCGAAGGCGCUUCACUGGCCGGUUACUGACACUGAGCUGCGAAAGCAAGGGGAGCAAACAGG
rnacentral:rRNA from 1 species